ACUCGACACUAACAUGUAAAAACAUGUAGGAUCAUGUCAUGUUAGGAUCAUUUUUAUGUUGUUUCUAAUUUUACAGAAGCAUUGUAGUGACAUCAUUCCACAUAGAAGAGACCUCAUCAUUGUGACUUUCCACAUGUCUCCAGUUUGGGGCACUCACUUCAUUACAGUAUGUGAGUCUUGGGAAUGUGGCGAUUGUAAAGUGUGUGGCACAGAAGUAUCCAGUAGGUAUGAGUUAUUGAAACUAAUUCUAAGCUCAAACAUGGACAUUUUGGGGCUAGGUUCAGGCAUCCUAUGCAGCAUACCCCUCUGCUGUGAGUAAGACAUAAAUGCUGAAAUGUGAAAACCUGUUGUAUGU